UGCAAGUCGAACGAACUCUUCGGAGUUAGUGGCGGACGGGUGAGUAACACGUGGGAACGUGCCUUUAGGUUCGGAAUAACUCAGGGAAACUUGUGCUAAUACCGAAUGUGCCCUUCGGGGGAAAGAUUUAUCGCCUUUAGAGCGGCCCGCGUCUGAUUAGCUAGUUGGUGAGGUAAAGGCUCACCAAGGCGACGAUCAGUAGCUGGUCUGAGAGGAUGAUCAGCCACAUUGGGACUGAGACACGGCCCAAACUCCUACGGGAGGCAGCAGUGGGGAAUCUUGCGCAAUGGGCGAAAGCCUGACGCAGCCAUGCCGCGUGAAUGAUGAAGGUCUUAGGAUUGUAAAAUUCUUUCACCGGGGACGAUAAUGACGGUACCCGGAGAAGAAGCCCCGGCUAACUUCGUGCCAGCAGCCGCGGUAAUACGAAGGGGGCUAGCGUUGCUCGGAAUUACUGGGCGUAAAGGGAGCGUAGGCGGACAUUUAAGUCAGGGGUGAAAUCCCGGGGCUCAACCUCGGAAUUGCCUUUGAUACUGGGUGUCUUGAGUAUGAGAGAGGUGUGUGGAACUCCGAGUGUACAG
rnacentral:rRNA from 1 species